rnacentral:rRNA from 1 species
ACCCGGAAACCCGGGGUUAAUCCCGAAUAAUUUUUUGACCCGCGGGGUUCAAAUUUAAAGGGGGGUUUCGGUUGCCCUUUUGGGGGGGCCCCGCGUCGAUUUAGUUAUUGGGGGGGGAAACGGCCCCCCAGGGAAACGAGGCUUACCCAACCUGAGGGGGUGACCGCCCACCCGGGGCCUGAAACCCGCCCCAAACUCCUCCGGGGGGCAGCAGUAGGAAAUCUUCCGAAUGGAAAAAAAUUCUGAGGAAGCACCCCCGCGGGAGGAAUAAAGGCUUUCGGGCCGAAAAACUCUGUUGUUAGGAAAAAACAGGUGCUAUUUGAAUAAGGGGGCCCCUUGACGGUACUUACCCAAAAGGCCCCGGUUAACUCCGUGCCAGCACCCGGGGAAAUACGUAGGGGGCAAGUUUUUUCCCGGAUUUUUUGGGC